GUCGCAUAAGCAUUCGUACAGUUUGUCAGUAAUGUGGCCUUUGUAUUUAGUGUACCAUUAUGCAUUGUAAAUGUUGAUUUUGUAGAUUGUUAGCAGUAUUUGUACUAGCUAUCAUAAAUGGGAAUGAGUUGGCACUACCUUGCCGUUCCUGAGUUGUUGCAGAAUCCAGAAUAGAAUUUAAAGAGAGCCUUCAGUUAUCAAGCUCCUCUCCUGUGGAAUCAGGUCCCAGUUUGUGUCGUAGUUAGCCACUAUGCCCCCCUGAUCCUUUUCUACUCUUGUGUAUCUGCCCUCCCUUGUGUUUCCUGGCUGUCCCCUGUCCGUUGUUGUUUGUGUAAGUGUGUCUGUGUUCUGGGCUGGCUUCCUGAUCUCCUGUCUGCAGUUGAUUACCGGCACACCUGAUUCCCAUCAUCGUCAUCAGCCGCCACUGUUUAUCUACCGGGCUCAUCCACGCUACCAGCGCCAGAUCGUCCUUGUACCUGUAUUCAUGCUCUGCAGGUGAUCACCGCCCCAGUCUGUCCUCGGAUCCCCAAGACUCCCAUACUAUGCCAGCGGCCAUGACAUUCUUGAUCUCUGACCAUCGGACUCCAGUACCAGGCUUCACGGGUCCACCGCCUGACCAGCCCAGAACCAGCUCCCCUUAUCUCUGCCCGAAGCGCCACCAUCCAGUCUCCGACCCAGCCCAGUCGAGUCCACGGGAUGGCCACGAAUUACGCCAGACCCUUUGUACUUCCUUGACGAUCAGUACAAUAAAACUGUUCUAAACCUUA